AAAUUGAAGAGUUUGAUCAUGGCUCAGAUUGAACGCUGGCGGCAGGCCUAACACAUGCAAGUCGAACGGUAGCACAGAGGAGCUUGCUCCUUGGGUGACGAGUGGCGGACGGGUGAGUAAUGUCUGGGAAACUGCCCGAUGGAGGGGGAUAACUACUGGAAACGGUAGCUAAUACCGCAUAAUGUCGCAAGACCAAAGAGGGGGACCUUCGGGCCUCUUGCCAUCGGAUGUGCCCAGAUGGGAUUAGCUAGUAGGUGGGGUAACGGCUCACCUAGGCGACGAUCCCUAGCUGGUCUGAGAGGAUGACCAGCCACACUGGAACUGAGACACGGUCCAGACUCCUACGGGAGGCAGCAGUGGGGAAUAUUGCACAAUGGGCGCAAGCCUGAUGCAGCCAUGCCGCGUGUAUGAAGAAGGCCUUCGGGUUGUAAAGUACUUUCAGCGAGGAGGAAGGCGUUGUGGUUAAUAACCGCAGCGAUUGACGUUACUCGCAGAAGAAGCACCGGCUAACUCCGUGCCAGCAGCCGCGGUAAUACGGAGGGUGCAAGCGUUAAUCGGAAUUACUGGGCGUAAAGCGCACGCAGGCGGUCUGUCAAGUCGGAUGUGAAAUCCCCGGGCUCAACCUGGGAACUGCAUCCGAAACUGGCAGGCUAGAGUCUUGUAGAGGGGGGUAGAAUUCCAGGUGUAGCGGUGAAAUGCGUAGAGAUCUGGAGGAAUACCGGUGGCGAAGGCGGCCCCCUGGACAAAGACUGACGCUCAGGUGCGAAAGCGUGGGGAGCAAACAGGAUUAGAUACCCUGGUAGUCCACGCCGUAAACGAUGUCGACUUGGAGGUUGUGCCCUUGAGGCGUGGCUUCCGGAGCUAACGCGUUAAGUCGACCGCCUGGGGAGUACGGCCGCAAGGUUAAAACUCAAAUGAAUUGACGGGGGCCCGCACAAGCGGUGGAGCAUGUGGUUUAAUUCGAUGCAACGCGAAGAACCUUACCUACUCUUGACAUCCACGGAACUUGCCAGAGAUGGCUUGGUGCCUUCGGGAACCGUGAGACAGGUGCUGCAUGGCUGUCGUCAGCUCGUGUUGUGAAAUGUUGGGUUAAGUCCCGCAACGAGCGCAACCCUUAUCCUUUGUUGCCAGCGGUCCGGCCGGGAACUCAAAGGAGACUGCCAGUGAUAAACUGGAGGAAGGUGGGGAUGACGUCAAGUCAUCAUGGCCCUUACGAGUAGGGCUACACACGUGCUACAAUGGCGCAUACAAAGAGAAGCGACCUCGCGAGAGCAAGCGGACCUCAUAAAGUGCGUCGUAGUCCGGAUUGGAGUCUGCAACUCGACUCCAUGAAGUCGGAAUCGCUAGUAAUCGUGGAUCAGAAUGCCACGGUGAAUACGUUCCCGGGCCUUGUACACACCGCCCGUCACACCAUGGGAGUGGGUUGCAAAAGAAGUAGGUAGCUUAACCUUCGGGAGGGCGCUUACCACUUUGUGAUUCAUGACUGGGGUGAAGUCGUAACAAGGUAACCGUAGGGGAACCUGCGGUUGGAUCACCUCCUUACCUUAAAGAA
rnacentral:rRNA from 1 species